CAUGCAGCGUGCUGCCGAGCGGUACGACAUCAAUAGUAUUGUUUUUCAGGCGAACUUCACCGGUUGCCCGUACCAUUUCAUUAAAAUUGAGCGGAAUUUCCAGGUUAAGGUUACCGUUGACACCACCGCCGAUUUUCAGCUGCUUCAGCGUAUUACCGAUGGAGUCUUUCAUCGGGGUCUGAUCAAAAUAAUUGCCCAGCGAUUCCCCUUUCCCUUCGAUAUCUGACUGAAUAUAAAGGCGCUCAAUCGUAAAGUCCGGAAUAUCGGCUUUCAGGUUCAGGGCUGUUGCGUUACCCAAUUUUGCCUGCGGAGCUGUCAUCCAUAACCCGUGGUUAUGAAAAUUCAGAUCAACAUUCACAUCCAUCAGUGCAGGCCAGUCCGGAUCAUAUUUGAAUGUCGCAUCGCGCAGCGGCAC
rnacentral:ncRNA from 1 species